rnacentral:lncRNA from 1 species
GUUAGCCCCCCAACAGAGAGUCCUUUGUGUAUUAUUCUGCGAGAAUAGUAAAAGGUUGGAUUUUUACCCGUAAUAUUGUGUGUUGCCUUUGUUUCGUAAAAUUGCAAUAAUCCUAAGUAUUGCACUUUGAGAGGAAAAUGUGCUGAAGUAACUUGAUUGUCAGGUUGCUGCAUUAUAGUGUCAAUUUCGAAAAAUUUGACCCUGUAACAACUGGUAUCAGAGCAAGGUCAGAUUCGUGGCGGAGACACAACGUAUAGUGACAUAUAUCGUAGUCUUGUUUGAGAACAUGGCUAUCACGGCUCUAGUUCACCAAUCGUGGAUCUGUCAUGAUGGCACCCAGUCUUCACGAUUAGGUAAGACUGACACACUGCGAAAAUUCAGCAAUCCUUGCGGAAACGAUAAAUAAACAUAAAUAGCAUAAGAUAAUGUAUAGAAUAUCGCCUGGCACAUACGUGUCGACUCCAAAUAACGUAAAAACCUCCAAGACUCGGAAACCUAUGGGAAACACAGGCUAAGAGCAAAGUAUAACAUACGGCUCUAACAUCCAUGAGUAUCUACAACAAGUGAGUACAUAAAUGAAACCAUUAGCUAAAGGGAGAAUAGAUGGAGACUCUUCGGCUCUGCGGACGCGGCAGAUGCAUACCUCAAAUCUCCGAGUAUAUCUCCUAAUUAUUGAUAGCGCGUCCGAUCAAAAGUACCUGGAUCAGCACAACAAAAGUGUACAGAAGAGUAGCAUGAGUACACCACAACGGUACUCAGUAAGUGCGAAGCCUAACCUCGAUGGAGUAGUGACGAGGAAGGCCAAGGCCCUACUGAGAAGAACAUAAGAAAUAAUGUAAAAAUAAAUAAACAGUAGAUAAUGAAANNNNNNNNNNNNNNNNNNNNNNNNNNNNNNNNNNNNNNNNNNNNNNNNNNNNNNNNNNNNNNNNNNNNNNNNNNNNAAUAUACAGUAGAUAAUGAAAUAAAUCCCGAAUAUCUAACAAGAUAGUAAUUAAAACAGAACGGCUAAGGGUACAGACUACGAACACAAAGCAAAUCACUCAAAAAUUAGGAUCUUUACAUGGAGCUACGGGAAAGUCCUUUAUACCAAUAACAGAGGAUCUCCGGGAAUUGAACCCGCAGUCCUUUAUACCAAUAACAGAGAAUCUCUGGGAAUUGAACCUGCAGACCUUUAUUCCAAUAAGAGAGGAUCUCCUGGAAUUGAACCCGCAGUUCUUUAUAACAAUAACAGAGGAUCUCCGGGAAUUGAACCGCAAUCCUUUAUACCAAUAACAGAGGAUCUCCGAAAUUGAACCCGCAGUCCUUCAUACCAAUAACAAAGGAUCUCCGGGAAUUGAACCCGCAGUCCCAAAAGUAAAAUACACCACAACAAUUCAAUAUUUAACGGAAAGGAAGCCAAAUGCGAACAACAAGUAAAGUCGAUAAUCUAACAUGCUUCGCAAGAAAAACAUAUAUGGAAAUUUAGUCAAAUAGAGCAAAUAAGUCCCUAGCAUGCUUCCCAAUAAGGUUGUACUGUGUGGCGG